AUUGGAAGGUUUAACAGGCCAGGUAGAGGAGGCAUUGGAGGCCAGGUAGAGGAGGGAUUGGAAGGUUUUAACAGGCUAGGUAGAGGAGGCAUUGGAAGGUUUAACAGGCCAGGUAGAGGAGGCAUUGGAAGGUUUAACAGGCCAGGUAGAGGAGGCAUUGGAGGCCAGGUAGAGGAGGGAUUGGAAGGUUUUAACAGGCUAGGUAGAGGAGGCAUUGGAAGGUUUAACAGGCCAGGUAGAGGAGGCAUUGGAAGGUUUAACAGGCCAGGUAGAGGAGGCAUUGGAGGCCAGGUAGAGGAGGGAUUGGAAGGUUUUAACAGGCUAGGUAGAGGAGGCAUUGGAAGGUUUAACAGGCCAGGUAGAGGAGGCAUUGGAAGGUUUAACAGGCCAGGUAGAGGAGGCAUUGGAGGCCAGGUAGAGGAGGGAUUGGAAGGUUUAACAGGAUUGGUAGAGGAGGCAUUGGAAGGUUUAACAGGCCAGGUAGAGGAGGCAUUGGAAGGUUAACAGGCCAGGUAGAGGAGGCAUUGGAAGGUUAACAGGCCAGGUAGAGGAGGCAUUGGAAGGUUAACAGGCCAGGUAGAGGAGGCAUUGGAGGCCAGGUAGAGGAGGUAUUGGAAAGUUAACAGGCCAGGUAGAGGAGGCAUUGGAGGCCAGGGAGAGGAGGUAUUGGAAGGUUUAACAGGCUUGGUAGAGGAGGCAUUGGAAGGUUUAACAGGCCAGGUAGAGGAGGCAUUGGAGGCCAGG